rnacentral:rRNA from 1 species
AUUGAACACUGGCGGCAUGCCUUACACAUGCAAGUCGAACGGCAGCACGGGAGCAAUCCUGGUGGCGAGUGGCGAACGGGUGAGUAAAGUAUCGGAACGUGCCCAGUCGUGGGGGAUAACGUAGCGAAAGUUACGCUAAUACCGCAUACGAUCUAUGGAUGAAAGCGGGGGAUCGCAAGACCUCGCGCGAUUGGAGCGGCCGAUAUCAGAUUAGGUAGUUGGUGGGCUAAAGGCUCACCAAGCCGACGAUCUGUAGCUGGUCUGAGAGGACGACCAGCCACACUGGGACUGAGACACGGCCCAGACUCCUACGGGAGGCAGCAGUGGGGAAUUUUGGACAAUGGGCGAAAGCCUGAUCCAGCCAUGCCGCGUGCAGGAUGAAGGCCUUCGGGUUGUAAACUGCUUUUGUACGGAACGAAAAGGUUUGGCCUAAUAAGCUGAGCUCAUGACGGUACCGUAAGAAUAAGCACCGGCUAACUACGUGCCAGCAGCCGCCGUAA